rnacentral:rRNA from 2 species
CCUGAAGGAACGUUGAAGACGACGACGUUGAUAGGUCGGGUGUGUAAGCGCAGCGAUGCGUUGAGCUAACCGAUACUAAUGAACCGUGAGGCUUAACCUU